rnacentral:rRNA from 1 species
UACGUAGGGGGGCAAGCGUUUAUCCGGAUUUACUGGGUGUAAAGGGAGCGUAGACGGCAUGGCAAGUCUGAAGUGAAAGCCCGGGGCUCAACCGCGGGACUGCUUUGGAAACUGUUAAGCUGGAGUGCAGGAGAGGUAAGUGGAAUUCCUAGUGUAGCGGUGAAAUGCGUAGAUAUUAGGAGGAACACCAGUGGCGAAGGCGGCUUACUGGACUGUAACUGACGUUGAGGCUCGAAAGCGUGGGGAGCAAACAGG